rnacentral:lncRNA from 1 species
AUGUGUGGUCUUAACUACACAUCUAAUUGUGAGCUCAUGGUUAAAGAUUAAGGUGUGUUCGGUUCGAGGCUUGAUCGCAAAUCCGGACACUCGCGUCUGAAGAUGACGAGAGUUGAACAAAUUGCGGAUAUGAUGAUGGAACGGUCCGAGAUGUGACAAGAAGAGCAUACUCAUCAAGGACCUAAAUCGCGUAACGAUCGCAAAUAAGUAAUGGCAAGGAAUGCCCGUCGGGGCAAGCAUUAC